rnacentral:rRNA from 1 species
UACGUAAAAGACUAGUGUUAUUCAUCUUUAAUAGGUUUAAAGGGUCCGUAGACGGUAAAAUUCCAUCUGAAAUAGGAUAUGUUUUUACUAGAGUUUUUAUAUGAGGAGGCGAGUAUUCAUGGAGGAGAGUUGAAAUUUUGUGAUCCCAUGACGACUGGUAAGGGCGAAAGCAACCUUUUAUCUAAUAACUGACGUUGAGGGACGAAGGCUUGGGUCGCGAACAGG